GGGGGGGGGGGGGGGGGGGGCGGGGGCGGGCAGGUCGGGCGGAUGGAGGGGGCUUGCGCCUGGGUUCAGCGGCGGGCGGGUGAGUGAUGCCGAGGAGUCUGCCGGGUAGUGGGGGAUAACGUCCGGAAACGGGCGCUAAUACCGCAUACGUCCUGAGGGAGAAAGUGGGGGAUCUUCGGACCUCACGCUAUCAGAUGAGCCUAGGUCGGAUUAGCUAGAUGGUGGGGUAAAGGCCUACCAAGGCGACGAUCCGUAACUGGUCUGAGAGGAUGAUCAGUCACACUGGAACUGAGACACGGUCCAGACUCCUACGGGAGGCAGCAGUGGGGAAUAUUGGACAAUGGGCGAAAGCCUGAUCCAGCCAUGCCGCGUGUGUGAAGAAGGUCUUCGGAUUGUAAAGCACUUUAAGUUGGGAGGAAGGGCAGUAAGUUAAUACCUUGCUGUUUUGACGUUACCAACAGAAUAAGCACCGGCUAACUUCGUG
rnacentral:rRNA from 1 species